UGCCCAAUAGUUUUGUCAGGAUCUCAUCCGCAUCUUCAUGUUGCAGCCGCUUAUGGUUCAAUGGAAGGGGUCUGUUACACUUUGGGCAAAUCAAAUAUACACCUCCACUGCCCCCCAGCGUUUUGCUGGUCGGGCUAGUAUGCUCCGUUUUGGAGUGUGCCCGGAGGAUGUCUGUGGCUCAUAUUGAGUUGAAUGUCAUCAUUUUCCUUCAUGGAAACUCUUUUUCCCGAUGACAUUCUUAGUCUUGGUCCACACAUUC
rnacentral:snoRNA from 1 species